CGUAUAAGCGACUUCCUUGACGGUUCGGUUCGCGUUGUCGUAUGCUGCAAGUGUUUUGCAGCAAUGAAGAAAUAUCUAGACGAUGAUUUUCAGCGUAAAGUUCUGGAGUUGGCUGCGGUCCUAUCACGCCAGAGAGAUGUCCAGCUGCUGCUGGAGAACAGCUCUAUUCUGGACGAAGAGGGACAAGAACCUGGUCACAUGACAGACGGAAAAGUAGAGUCCACCAGGCUCCUGUUCACUCAAGAUGAGGAGGAGCCUCAACACAUUAAAACAGAAGCUGAUGGAGGCGACUGUGGAGGACCAGGGCCAGACUCUGACGUGGAUACACUUCACCACUCUGACCACCAGAUGUCACUCUCCUCUGAAUCCGACACUGACGACAGUGAAGACUGGAGAGAAAGCACUUACACUCAGUCUGCUUCCAAGUCCGUGAACAAUCCAAGGGUUCAUUUCAGUACCAAGAGAGAUGAUCUCAAAUCUCUGAUGGGGUCUGAAUGUGGGAGAGAAUGUUCUUCAAAGGCUCAAUGCAGAAAAUCCUGCUGGGGACCUUUGACUUGUUCAGUUUCUAGAAAAGAGGAUGACAUGACGUGGCAGGCCGCAAAGAAACCUUUCAUGCGCUCUCCCUGUGUUCCCAACUCAGUCUCGGAUGGUCCUGCAGGAAUGAAAAAAUGUUUGGAUGAUGAUUUCCAGCGUAAGGUUCUGGAGAUGGUCAGGAAAGCUGCAACCCACCCACACCAGAGAGAUGUCCAGCUGCUGCUGGUGAGGAGAGAAGCGGUUCCUAUUGGGCAGCAAGACAGCAGCUCCGGUUUGGACCCAGAGCGACGAGAACCUGGUCUCAUUAAAGAGGGAAAAGAAGAGUCCGCCAGGCUCCUGUUCACUCCUGUCAGUGUGAAGAAUGAAGAUGAGGAGGAGCCUCAACAUAUUAAAACAGAAGAUGAUGGAGGUGACUCUGAAGGACCAGAACCAGUCUCUGACGUGGAUACGCUUCUCCACUCUGGCCACCAGAUGUCACUCUCCUCUGAAUCCGAUACUGACGACAGUGAAGACUGGAGAGAAAGCACUUACACUCAGCCUGCUUUCAAGUCUGUGGACAAUCCAAAGGUUCAUUUCAGUACUAAGAGAGAUGAUCUCAAAUCUCUUAUGGGCUCUGAAUGUGGGAGAGAAUGUUCUUCAAAGACUGGGUUGACUCGACGCAGAAAAUCCUGCUGGGGACCUUUGACUUCUUCAGUUUCUAGAAAAGAGGAUGACAUGACGUGGCAGGCUGCAAAGAAACCUUUCAUGUGCUCUACCUGUGUUCCCGACUCAGUCUCGGAGGGUCCUGCAGGAAUGAAAAAAUGUUUGGAUGAUGAUUUCCAGCGUAAAGUUCUGGAGAUGGUCAGGAAAGCUGCAACCCACCCACACCAGAGAGAUGUCCAGCGGCUGCAGGUGAAGAGAGAAGCGGUUCCUAUUGGGCAGCAGGAGAGCAACUCCAGUCUGGACCCUGAGGGACGAGAACCUGGUCUCAUUAAAGAGGGAAAAGCAGAGUCCAUCAGGCUCCUGUUCACUCCUGUCAGUGUGAAGACUGAAGAUGAGGAGGAGCCUCAACACAUUAAAACAGAAGCUGAUGGAGGACCAGAACCAGACUCUGAUGUGGAUACGCUUCUCCACUCUGACCACCAGAUGUCACUCUCCUCUGAAUCCGACACUGACGACAGUGAAGACUGGAGAGAAAGCAGUUACACUCAGCCUGCUUCCAAAUUCAUGGACAGUCCAAAGGUUCAUUUCAGUACCAAGGGCGAUUACCUUGAAUCUCUGAUGGGCUCUGAAUGUGGGAGAGAAUGUUCUUCAAAGACUGGGUUGACUCGACGCAGAAAAUCCUGCCGGGGACCGUUGACUUCUUCAAUUUCUAGAAAAGAGGAUGACAUGACAUGGCAGGCCACAGAGAAACCCUUCAUGUGCUCUACCUGUGUUCCUGUCUCAGUCUCGGAUGGUCCGGCAGUAAUAAAGAAAUGUUUGGAUGAUGAUUUCCAGCGUAAGGAGCUGGAGAUGGUCCGGAAAGCUGCGGCCCACCCACACCAGAGAGAUGUCCAGCGACUGCAGGUGAAGAGAGAAGCGGUUCUUAUUGGGCAGCAGGAGAGCAGCUCCAGUCUGGACCCAGAGGGACGAGAACCUGGUCUCAUUAAAGAGGGAAAAGCAGAGUCCAUCAGGCUCCUGUUCACUCCUGUCAGUGUGAAGACUGAAGAUGAGGAGGAGCCUCAACACAUUAAAACAGAAGCUGAUGGAGGCGACUGUGGAGGACCAGAACCAGACUCUGAUGUGAAUAUGCUUCUCCACUCUGACCACCAGAUGUCACUCUCCUCUGAAUCCAACACUGACAAUAAGAGAGGGGUCAGGCUGCAGACAUCAUCUCUCAGGCCCCUCGACCUCCUCUAUCAGGCUCCUGCUGACGGAGCGCGACCUUGCCUCUCAGGCUCCUUCAGCACCGGAAGUGACCCAAUAUCUGAGCUUUGGCCAGAAACUGACAUUUCUCCAAAUCGGAGCCAAAAGAGAACAAUGCAUCAUUCGAUCAUUUCAAGUGGCUCACAAAUUGCAGCAGAUCGCUGUCGGACGUGCUGCAAACUUUACCACUGCCCUAUUUGCCCCGGAUUUAAACCAACUAAAUUGUGUAAAAUCCAGAGGCACCUGAAAGUUCACGUCAAAAAUGCAAUUUCGUUUAAAGAUAAAAGCAUAUGCAGGUGCGGUCUUGGGUGCAGGGCUGCAGCACAUUUCCAUUGCCCUGCAUGUGAAAAAACAGUUAUUAGAAGAGAUGACAUGGAAGGACACUUGGUGAUUUGUAGGGGGAUAUUGGAGCAGACAACUUAAACCUCCUCAAGUCCUGCUCGACUACCUUCGACCCCUGCCCUGUCCUACACAGCUCAACUGAAGGACAUGUCCUCCUCACCAAUUAAAAGUCAGGGAGAUUAUCCUCACAAAAAUCUCAUGUUUAAGAAGACGUGUCCCUACUGUAGAAUCCAAAUGUUCAUGUCAGUGAGAAGAAGGACAAUGCUGAUUACAAACCAAUGAUCUGCGCUGGCUGUGGGAGAAAAUGUUCAUCACAGUCCAGACAGACUGGGCACAUGAGCCUGUGUGGAGGAUCUUUGAAUGUUCAGUUUGCAGGAAACAUUUUGAGAUGAAGAGAAUGUGAUGGAUCACUUGAGCAUUUACAAUAGGGAGAAGCCCCUUAGCUGCGCUCAAUGCGAUAGAUUUUAUGCGAGGAUCUUACGCCUCAAAGACCACAUGCUCAAGUCACUCAGGUGAAAAACCGUUGAGCCAAUGUCUCAAGUAGCACAUUAAAAGUCACAAUGGAGAAAGGCCGUUCAGGUGCUCUUAUUGUGGUAAAUGUUUUACACAGACAAUCACACUUGAGGACUCCCUCUGGAGAGAAAAUUUUUAUUUGCCCUCAUUGUGGCAUAGGUUCUGCCCAGAGGACAUAAAUUCAGCUGCUCCCAAUGACGAAGUGUUACCAAGGGUAGUGUGGUUGAAGGAAAAACGCGGUAAUUCAGGAACGUAACAGCUUCCUUUUUUCACAAGUGACUUACCAUCUGGGUGUCUGGAGUCAGAACCACAGUGAAGUAGAUGAUAACGGAGUUUUGGUUCCUGCUUUUGCCUUCAAUUGCUAACUUUAUGACUUUGUGCAAUUGAAAGUAUUGAAAGUGAGUAUGAUGACUUGAAUGAGUGAAUCUUUAAUCAUUUGUGCCUAUCUAUCGGGCGUCUCUUACUUCGUACUUGUGAUAGGUGGUCUCAGGAUAUCACGCUCUCUUGGUUCAAAGGUGAGUUGCUGGUGUUUGAUGGUCUGAAGACUUCUGUUUUCGACAGCUGCAUUCAGGGAUCAAAACAUAUAGACACAUUUGUAACGCUUGUGGGGAAAAACCUUUCAUCUGCCCUCACUAUAGUAACAGUUUUAUAUGAACUGCCUGGUACUGACCCCUAAAAGCACCACAGCACUGAACUGCUCUGGCUUGUUUUAAAACGUCAAAUGGCAUGACAUGGCAAACAAAAAUACGAAGCUGUACACCUGGCUUGAUGCACCAUAAUAAAAUCAAAACAACUUUUCAACAACUGAAAUUGAGGACAUUUGGCUUUAUGCAUUGGAUCGGGCAGGUUGUUCGGAUCCAGUCAUUUCAGCCUAGAUCGGUCCCAAUCGUGAACCAGAUGCCGAUAAUAUUUCUGAACCUGGACUACAAGCUAAUGAAGAAGGACCACUGCAACAUCUGUGGAUGUAGCUUCUGACUUGACUCUUUGGCCUCACAACUAUCAUCAACAAAGAUCUUUCCGGUUACAGCACGUGACGCCAAUAAAUGAAGCUAUAAGAUCAACAACACAAUUUCAAACAUGGAUAAGAACACCCUACAAGUCCAAGUGCAUAGUGGUUCCCGUCUGUAUUUGAGGAAGAAAGACUUCAACCAUGAGAGUCAAGUGUGGACAAAGACAUCCUGCUGUCUAUUGAGCAGCAGAAGCUGUCUCUGAUAGGUGGUGCCCACGAUUGAAGCUCUUUCCACAUUCCAAACAGCAGAAAGGUUUCUCUCCUGUGUGAAUCCUGCUGUGGUUCUUCAGGUCCCGUCUGUCCGUGAAACACUUCCCACACUCUGAGCAGUUGAAAGGUUUGACUCCUGUGUGAAUCCUCAUGUGCCUGUUCAGAUGUUCACUCUGAUUGAAACACUUUCCACACACCGAGCAGCAAAAUGGUUUCUCUCCAGUGUGAAUUCUCGCGUGAAUCUUCAGGUGUUCGCUCUGAUUGAAACACUGACCACACUCCGAGCAGCAAAACGGUUUCUCUCCUGUGUGAAUUCUCAUGUGUGUCUUCAGAUGUCCUCUUUGAGUGAAACAUUUUCCACAGAACAAGCAGGACAAUGAAUUUUCCCCACUGCAACUAUUUUUGUGUCGACUCAGUCCUCGCUUGGAGGAAUAUGUGGUUCCACAUCCAGAGCAGUCUUCACUGUCGUCAGUGUCUGAUGCAGAAGAGAGCGACCUCAGGCACUCAGAGUGAAGAUCGGGACGUAUCCCUGGUCCUCCACAGUCGACCUCUUCUGUUUUCAUGAGCUGUCGUGAGCUGCCGGCUGGAGGCUCAUCCUCUCUCUGUGACGCCUCUACAUUAUCUUCACU